GGCCGAUAGAGAGCAGCUCGUUCCCGCUUCGCUGUCUGGUCGCCUCUCGGUGUGAGGACGGAGAGAAGCUCCAGAGAUUCACGGUGUAAUAUCACUGACAAUGCGCUUUGAUAAGAGUGAUAUUAAAGUGGGAAAACACAGUGAGUUGCAGUCGCUGCUAUUUAAAGUUACAUGACGUGUUUUUAGAUUAUCGAAGUUUUCGGCUAUGCUAACAGCCUCGCUAGCGCUAAGCUAACAUUUGUGGGUUAGGAUUUCAUUAGCUGUGGUGCUAACCUUCAGCUAGCUCCAGGAUCAGCCCCAACAAUGGACGACAGGAAACAAGAUGGACUAGGUGACCAGGAAAAUAAAAUCUGUACCUCGACCAGGGAGGAGAGACUUUCCUCAACAACUGUCAAUGAACGUGUGUGAGGAGCCUUCCCGUUGAUAAAGGACUGAGGUAAACCAGACUCCUGGGCUAAAUGGGGGAGAUGAUUAAACGGAACAAACCAACUGGAGGAAUGACAUUCCCAAGAGUAAUCUUUUGGAGCCCAAAUCUCCAUUUUGACCAUCCCCAUCAACGUCGGUCUGUUAGUCCACCACUUUGGUGCAGACUGAAGUAUCUCAACACAGUUUUUUCGUUUUUCUCCCUGCCUGGCUGUUUAGACAGACUCCCUAAACCACACGCCCGGCAGCACACUGAAUUGUGAAUCCAAACAGCCGGAGCAGCAGCAGAUAGACUGACUGAGAAAGGGGGAGGGGGGUAGAGAGAGAAAGAGAGAGAGAGAGAGAGAAGACAGAGAGAGAGAGAGGAGAGAGGGGGGGGGGGGAGAGAGAGAGGAGGAGCGAGAGCGACGACGAGAGGAAAAGAGGAGACAGGAGAGAGGAGAGAGAGAGAGAGAGGGGAGGGGGGGCAGGCGAGAGGAGGAGAGAGAGAGAGAGAGAGAGAGAGAGAGAGAGAGAGAGAGAGAGAGAGAGAGAGUAGCUUUACAUGUAGGGUUCCAUUUUAAUCUAUUUUGGUUGCCUGGGGGUUUCACUUAAAGGUUGAAAUGCCAAUGUUGUGAAAGCUGAGACCCUGAACUAUCUAGCGCUUAGUUUUGUGAUCAGGAAUACUUUCUACCAAUUUUCCCUUAUGUCAGUUAUUACUUUACACUCAAUGACUAGACGGGAUCAACUGCAGCAGUGUAGAUGGUCGAUUGUUUUGGCAGGUGGUUGGUUUAGCGAAGCGUUCAGAGUUUCUCUUUCUGGUCUCGUUUGCAGUGAGCACAGAGAAAAUGAUUACAACAGGGGAAAAAAUGGAUAUAAAGACACAAUUACUUCAGAGAAUUGAAACAUGCCCACACACACACACACACACACACACACACAAUUCAUUGAUGUCUGUCAUGGAUUUGAUGCUCUGGACUGCACAGCACUGUUGCUCAUUAUGACAGAGAGGAAAAUAACAAAGCCAGAAUUGAGUGGGAGCAAAAUCAAGCAAGGAACAAAGUAACAUAAGACAUCAAAGAAGUGAAGCAAAAAUAUUUCUCAAUAUGCGUGUUCUCAGUGACUGAAGUGCGAUAGGAAAAGCUAGAACACCUCGAUAUCAAUACCAAUCAGGUGUGCAUCAGAUACUCACUCGC
rnacentral:lncRNA from 1 species